UUUGCUCAUAGGUUUUUGGGGUUUAAAAUGAGGGAAAACUCCUUUGAGGUACAUGCCCAAUGUUUCUGAAAGGAUUAGGAAAAUAUGCAUGGACUAAGGACAGAGUGUGAGAUUGAUUGCUUUAAAGAAGUCAAUUUAUGAGAC